rnacentral:tRNA from 1 species
GGAGAGCUGUCCGAGUGGCUGAAGGAGCACGAUUGGAAAUCGUGUAAGCGGUGUUGAGCCGUUUCUGGGGUUCAAAUCCCCAGCUCUCCGCCA